rnacentral:sRNA from 1 species
UCUGUCACCCAGACUGGAGUGCACUGGCGCAAUCUCAGCUCACCACAACCACUGCCUCCUGGGUUCAAGCGAUUCUCCUGCCCCAGCCUCCCAACUGCAGGUGGAGCUGGAGCAAGAAUACCAAGACAAAUUCAAAAGACUGCCCCUCGAGAUUUUGGAAUUCGUGCAGGAAGCCAUGAAAGGAAAGAUCAGUGAAGACAGCAAUCACGGUUCUGCCCCUCUCUCCCUGUCCUCAGACCCUGGAAAAGUGAACCACAAGACUCCCUCCAGUGAGGAGCUGGGAGGAGACAUCCCAGGAAAAGAAUUUGAUACUCCUCUGUGAAUGCUCCUGCCAGGCCUUCAGAAAUUGCAUGGCCACUCCAGCGUCAUCGGACUCUCUCUUAUUACAAAGAUCACUGCCCAGGACCAUUUUCCCGAGAAGCAUCCCUUAGCCUAAAAUCCACACCAAAGGGAGAGUUCCAGAGGAAUCCAUGAAGAAUUCCCAUGCCCAGGCUCCAUGUGUCAUGUGGAAACCUCCGCAGGUCUGCUAGUGAAGAAUGCAUGUAUGUGAGAUUUUUGUUUUCUUUCCAAUAGCAAAUUCAAAGCAAGCAACUUGCAGGCUCCAUGGAACUUUUAAUGAAGGACAGUGUCUUCUUUGAAGAAAAUCAAGCUCAUGUUUUUAUUUGAAGCUCUGGUGUAAAAUAUUUCAAAGUCAUAGAAAUAGUUUGAGAAAUGCAUAGCAUUAUUUAACACUAUUGAACAGCCGACUUUGAGCAUUGUUUUUUCUAACUGCCCCUCAACUACCAUUAUCUUCAAGUCAACAUGCAUAUUACAUUUUCAUCCUUUGCUUUGCAAGCACUGGUGGCUUGCAGUUUGCUAAUUUAUUUAUCAUAGAGUCAUCAAUGUAUUUGUUGCUGACAUGGUUUUAUUAGAUACUGUAGUGAUUCAAAUAAGUUUGUUUUCUAUUAAAAAAAAAAAAAAUCACUUGAUUGUAUCCUUGCCCAGUGAAGCCAUCCUAAGACUUAGCAAUAUGGAUUGUACAUUUGACUCCAUGAGCAAGUCGGCCGCACACUUCCAGACAGUGUGCUGUUUGAAUUGACUAUUUGCACUCAAAGUCUGGGUAUUCAUUGGUUAUUGGCCUGAAAUGAUCAAAUAACUACAAAUGGUCUGUUGAAUAAAAAUAGUUGAGCUGAUAUAUGUUAAGCAGAUAUUCAAUCAGAAUGAACAGGUUCCAGUGGUUAUUUUGCCGUUUGACAUUUUUUAUGGUUCAUUUAUUUUUAAUAUAGAGAGGAAGAUUGAAUAUUUAUCUAGAGAAUACAAAGACCCACAUGUAAAUGAUAGGUAUUAUCUCCAUGUAUAUAUGUACCCACUUAGUCAUGUAAGUGCAUAUACACAUACACACACAUGAGUGUAGAUAUGUGUUUAUUAAUUGACAAUGACCCAAAUCUCUUCCACAAGACUUAAAACCAAAUUCAGGGACAAAUGGAUAGAGAAGAAAAGGGUCAAACAUCUAGAUUACAUGGAUGUUAAAUUAUAUGGAGACGCUAAGAAAUAAUUGAUGGAGCCAUUGAUGCAAACUGAAGUAGAUUUAGAACUUAUUAUAUGAAUUUGAUUUAUAUUUUGCAAGAUCAAAAAUUAGAUGUUAAGUAUCAGAUUUUAAGCUUGUUUUAAUGGUCAAAAAAUUAGGACAGAAAUAUGGACAUUUAUUAGUAUCUUCCAUAAUUUUUAAGUCUGACACAUUUCUAUUUUAUUCUAACAUAAAAAAACUUCCAUUAUAUAUUUACUAAGUAUAUUUAAUUCACUUAACUGUGUCUUUAUAAGUUCCUAUUUUAGAUGGCAUAAGAGAAACAAAUUAUAUUAAGGUAAAACUGAUCAAAAGCAUAAUUGAAAGUUCUGAAAAAAGAAAAAUAAUAAUAUGUAGAAAAAUGUAACUUAGAGAGUAACACAUGAACAUUGAAGUUAAAACCCAGAAGCCAGAUGCUCACAGUUUUAUUUUACUUUAAAAUAAACCUGUCUGAUUGUAGCUUUGCGAAAUAUCUUGAAACGCAAAAACCAGUUGUGUCCUGAAAAUUGUUUCAAGAAUUUAAUAUUUUUAUGAAAAUUAUUUUAUUUAACUUUAAGCAAUAACUAGAGAUUACAAUUAAAUUUUAAUCAAAAUGAAGGCUUAGUUCAAACAUAAGGAAACAAACAGUGUUUGAUUAAAAAAAACACAUCUAGUAAGACGUAAGGGGGAAAAUCAUAUCCUCUUUGGAGAUGAUUAUAUUUUGAUCUGAAGGGUUUGGGGUGUUCAUUAGACACUUAAUAAAACUUAACUUCCACUGAAAAAGAAAUCUUUUGUAAAUCAUUCUACUUUUGCACUUUGAAAGAAAGGCAUUAAUCAUAAAGAAGCAAGAAUGGUCAAAAUCGAAUGCUGCAUUUUUAUAAACAAAAUUACAGACUGUCUGAAAUUGAAGAAGAAUGAACUAAUAAUAGCAUUCAUAACCAAACACAAUGGUGAUUAUUGCAGAACAUUGUAUCACAUUUUAGUCCAGAGAUAGAAUAAAGUUGAAUAACCUUGACUUACACAAAACUGUUUUGGUAGUUGGAUUUCAUUAUCUUAGUGAAUUUAGUCAUUUUACAAUAUGUUUGUAUUUGGCCAUUUACUGUAAUCACAUUUUUAUAUCUGUACAAUGACACUUUUUGCAGUUGUGGGGUAGUGUGUAACACUGUCCAUCUUGCAUCAUUGAAACUACUACAAUGAUACUAUCAUUUAAUAAUAUUAAUAUUACUUGAAAUAGACUAAGAUAAAGAAAAGGGGUCUGUAUGAUGUGCAGUUUUGUGCCUUUAUGUAUUUGCCUUGUUCUUUGUUGAAUGUGUGAAAUUCUGUACUGUGGUUUUUCCUAUAAUAGAAGGUAGAGCUGUGCAUUAAAUUAGACUGUGUCUCUCUGAUACCUUUACACUACUGAGAAUAGCAUGGUUUUGGCCAUGUAAACCAAUUUUCAAAGUUCUAAUGACAUGCCAUGUGUUUUUGGUUUUUUAUAUUUCAUUUUAAAAUUUGAGUAUCACCAUACAUUAAUUAAUACUCCUGUAGUAGAUAAGCCUGUCAUUAAGUAAUUCCCAAAAAAAAGGGCCAUUGCUUGCAUUACUUUGAAUUUAAUGUUGCGCUUGUGCACUGUGUUAAUAUUGUUUGUGAUGGAUUGGACGUUGUGACUCUUGCCUUUUAAGAAGAAAAAAAAAGGACAAAGUAUUUGAAGCUCUUAAAAUGUACAUAUUUUGGUUCUUCUAUCUCAAAUUAUUUAAAAUGCAUAAUUCACAUUUUUGUAAUAAUUCUAUGCAAUUUUGUGGCAUGAUGUUUCUUCCACUUGUAAUUUUAUGUGCUUUCAUCACAAAUCCAAAGGAAA